CUUUCCGGUUGAUCCCGCCGGACCUGCUCCAAGAUGGCCAGAAUUUGCAGCAGCGGAGGCCGAUUCAGCUGCAGACCCGCAUCGGUAGCCUGGUGCUCUACCCGCAGGCUGCAAUCCACCUUGCCCCGCUUGAGGUGCUUGCGCAGGGUUUCCCGCAAAGGAUGCUCCAGGAUGCGCAGCGGGUCCGGCAUCCGGAAGUGCGGCUCAAGGAAGCGAUGGUUUACUGAGCGCAGCUCCCAGCUAAUGGUCAAAGCGCCUAGCGUUUGCUGGGCGCGGGCAAAUGCGGUCAUGCUGUAGAUCACGGGGUGGAUGGCACGGUCAUGAGCCUUGCUAAGGAGCCUUGCCAAGGGCGGUUCGGCAGGAUUGGUUGAUGCGUUUUCAUCGGUCACGCAUUAUUGUGCGCAUCGCGCGCGAUGUCGCGCGGGUACUGUGCGGGCCCCUCGCCCUGCGCGGAUGCGGUCGAAUCAAUCACACGAGAACCAUACGGUGAAGGAACACGGGGAACAAGCACGGCCCAGCGGCCGCGCCGAGGAUGAGCUGCGGUCGGUUCGGUUUACCCGGGGCUUUACCAAGCACGCCGCGGGUUCGGUGCUGGUUGAGUUUGGUGAUACCA
rnacentral:rRNA from 1 species